rnacentral:rRNA from 1 species
UGGGGAAUUUUGGACAAUGGGCGAAAGCCUGAUCCAGCAAUGCCGCGUGUGUGAAGAAGGCCUUCGGGUUGUAAAGCACUUUUGUCCGGAAAGAAAUCCUUGGCUCUAAUACAGUCGGGGGAUGACGGUACCGGAAGAAUAAGCACCGGCUAACUACGUGCCAGCAGCCGCGGUAAUACGUAGGGUGCAAGCGUUAAUCGGAAUUACUGGGCGUAAAGCGUGCGCAGGCGGUUUGCUAAGACCGAUGUGAAAUCCCCGGGCUCAACCUGGGAACUGCAUUGGUGACUGGCAGGCUAGAGUAUGGCAGAGGGGGGUAGAAUUCCACGUGUAGCAGUGAAAUGCGUAGAGAUGUGGAGGAAUACCGAUGGCGAAGGCAGCCCCCUGGGCCAAAUACUGACGCUCAUGCACGAAAGCGUGGGAGCAAACAGGAUUAGAUACCCUGGUAGUCCACGCCCUAAAACGAUGUCAGCUAGUUGUUGGGGGAUUCAUUUCCUUAGUAACGUAGCUAACGCGUGAAGUUGACCGCCUGGGGAGUACGGUCGCAAGAUUAAAACUUAAAGGAAUUGACGGGGUCAUAGCUGUUUCCU